rnacentral:rRNA from 1 species
UACGGGGGGGGCAAGCGUUGUUCGGAAUUACUGGGCGUAAAGGGCUCGUAGGCGGCCAACUAAGUCGGACGUGAAAUCCCUCGGCUUAACCGGGGAACUGCGUCCGAUACUGGAUGGCUUGAGUUCGGGAGAGGGAUGCGGAAUUCCAGGUGUAGCGGUGAAAUGCGUAGAUAUCUGGAGGAACACCGGUGGCGAAGGCGGCAUCCUGGACCGACACUGACGCUGAGGAGCGAAGCCAGGGGAGCAAAACGGGG